CGGCUGCAGCGGCUGCGCAGCGCGCGCCUGCCGCGGGGCUCCUGGGGGCCGGCGAGCCCAUUUGCGCAGUCCCCCAGGGGAGGGACGAGGCCGCCCAGGACACAUUCAAGGGUCUCUGUGUGUGACCUUACUACCUGGAAUCUUUGUGAUGUCAACAAUGGCACAUGGUGACUCAAGGCAGAUGGCAUAAUGGGAGUGGUAGAGGAGGUGAUGGACAGAACAGAAGACCAGGUAAGGCCAAGCCACCUUUGUUCUCUCCUCUGGUUUGCUUCUUGUUAUUGUUCUCCUGAGUCUGAUGGCCUCUUUCAGUUUCCCUGUGUCUGAGUGAGGCAGAUGUAUUUUUGGAUAAACCCAAACCAAACAGUCAGGUGAUUCUGCUUAAAAGAUGCAAAGAACAUCUUGCACAUGACAUUGGGGUUGACUGUUUUUCUGGAAGCCAUGGGUUACCUGUCAGAUCCCUUUGUGGUUCCUGGAGUUCAAGCUCCCUUUACCUUUCUCAGGCAGGGGGCUGAGAUGAUGCCUUGGUUCGGGAACUGGGUUCUAGGUGCCCACUCUCUUGGCCAGCAUGUGUUGUUCUAUGAUGGUAAAUAUUGGAAUGGAUGCAGGAGAUGAGGCUGUCUGUAUUUAGAAACCCACACCCAAGAGAGAACAAACCCGCGUUGAACCCAGCUGGCUCAUCCUUGUUGUAGGACAGAACACACCCAAGGUUACAUCCUCUUGUUCUGUGGCUGGCUGAAGUCACUUCCUUGUGUACCCAA